rnacentral:misc_RNA from 1 species
AGAGAGAGAGAGAGGGAGAGAUGGGUGUUAACAAUCUUGUUGAAGAGAAGGCUCUUCCUGGUUAUGGAGAUGGAAGAAGCAUGGAAGACAGCCUUGAAGAGAGAGUUUCUUUGUUUCUUGAUGAAGUUUUUGAUGAUUCUGAUCCUUCUUUUGAUGCUCAUGAUUAUGAUGAUGAUGAUGAUUCCUUUAUUGAUCAUCACAGUACCCAUUUGCACGACUCCAUGGAAAGGACCAUUUUCUGGGAAUCACAAGAGGCUUUGCUUCAGGAGGUGUUGGAACGCUAUAGCUUAACAGUAUCAAAGUUGAGGCAAGAGAUCAACAAAAUAAUAGAGAUGGCAAAAGAGAGAGAUUCUUGCAAAUGCCUUGAGCCUAUUUCUUGUUUUAGACAAAAGGUUGUUGAUUUGCUCUGCCAAAGAGGAUUCAGCGCUUCUCUCUGUACUUCCCAAUGGAAACACACUAAAAAAUUCCCUGGAGGGAAACAUGAGUACAUUGAAGUAAUUGUGAGCACAAGUGAAAAAAAGAAGCAAAUCCCAUACCUAAUAGAAUUGGAAUUCAAGGAACAAUUUGAGAUAGCAAAGGCAUGUGAAGAGUACAAGAAACUUAUAGCCCAAUUGCCAAAAUAUUACAUAGGAAAAGCUGACUACCUAAAUGCCAUUGUUGGUAUUCUCUGUGACUCAGCCAAGAGAUCAAUGAAAGAGAAGAAAAUCCAUAUGGGUCCAUGGAGAAAGAGAAGCUUCGUGCAAAUGAAAUGGUCAAGUUCUUCCACAAAAGGAGGAGAGUCAAUUGACGAUUCUUCAAGUAAUAAAUUUUCUCCACUUUCAUCAAGGCAAGCUCAUGAAUCUUGCUUCCACUUCUCUGUAACUCCUGCUGUGAUAGUUACUUAAUUAGAUGCUCACUGGAAGCAAAAGAAAAAAAGGGUAGCAUUACUAUGUGUUAAAAAAAUUUUGACUCUUUCUUUACAUUUCUAGCUUGUUUGAUAUAUGCAAAAAGAAAAUGCUACUAGUAUACUUAUAUGCGAGUACUGAGUAGGGUAAUGAGAUGAGUAUCUGUAGUUGCAUUCGUGUUGGUUGAGAAGAUGAUGUGAGAAGUUCGGGCAGACCCCAGAGUAGAGCUUUCUACUUGGAAUGCUUAAAAUUGCAUUUAGUGAGUCAUUCAAGUAGUAACUAGCAACUCCAGAUCAUGUAAUAGAAUAGUUUGCAGUGGUGCUAGUAUACAAGUGUGAUGCUAAUGGACAACAGUUUUGUUCCCAGGGAAUUGCUUUUUGAGUGUAUUAUCAGAAUUCAGAAAUGUGAGACUUGUUAUGUCGAGUAUUUAUCUAUGUAAUGAAGUAGAAAAUUUU